UACAGAGGUCCCGAGCGUUGUUCGGAUUCAUUGGGCGUAAAGGGUGCGUAGGCGGCGGGGCAAGUCUGAUGUGAAAUCCUGGGGCUCAACCUCAGAACUGCAUUGGAUACUGCCUUGCUAGAGUACUGGAGAGGGAACUGGAAUUUACGGUGUAGCAGUGAAAUGCGUAGAGAUCGUAAGGAAGGCCGGUGGCGAAGGCGAGUUCCUGGACAGUUACUGAUGCUGAGGCACGAAGGCCAGGGGAGCAAACGGG
rnacentral:rRNA from 1 species